UAAAUUAAAAAAGCGCUGGUGCUUGGAGGUUUUCCAAGCAGACGAGGAAGAGGUUUAUCGAGCAGUCAGCGGAUGCCUCUCGGCCCCUGUCAGUCGUUAGCCGGCCGACAAACCCGCAGGGUGAUCUGCGGAACAAAACGGCGGCAUGCAGGACA
rfam:Sporomusa sphaeroides DSM 2875 SPSPH_contig000001, whole genome shotgun sequence.